UCCUCAGCUUCCUGAGUAGCUGGGAUUACAGACACCCGUCACCACGCCCGGCUAAUUUUUACAUUUUUAGUAAAGACGGGAUUUCACCAUGUUGACCAGGCUCGUCUCGAACUUCUGACCUCAGGUGAUCCGCCUGGCUCGGCCUCCCAAAGUGCUGGGAUUAUAGGCAUGAGCCACUGUGCCUGGCCCCAGUUUCAGGUUUUUUCUAUCUAUUGAGAAACUGCCUUUCCCUGGCAUUGGCUGUAACCAAUUAUUACUUUAGACAGCUAACAACGGCCUGACCAUCACCUAAUGGACACCUGACAUUCCUGGUGGUAGGGGGCCCUCUCCCGCCCUGCUCAUGCCUAACUACCUACUGUAACAAAGUGAUGAAGGAGCUAGGAGGAGGUAAAAAUGGAUAAUUUGAACCAGUGGGUAGAAAUAAGAGAGCCAAGUCAACGGGAGAAGGAUUUUGUAACAAUCAGGGCAAUCGUGGAAUGGAUUGGUUGAAUGUUUCUCAUUCCUGAAUGAAAGAGGAGGGUGUGUUGUGGAAGAGAAGACAACAAUGGGUAGGUGUUUUGACUCAAAGACCCACAUGUUUUUUUUCUGACUUUGAGGUUCCAUAAUGUUGUGAAAGCUGCUGUAGGAAAUGCCAGUUUUGAACAAGGAAGUGAGUUCCUAGAAUGGGCACGUUAAGAGAAUUAAUCUGGAAGUUCUGAGAGACCCAUUGAAAGAGGUAGAAAGGCUCCCAGAGGAAAGGCCUCAUUGUGGAGACUGCGUCAUAAAAUCAUGGGGACCUAAAUGUAUGUGCCGAGGCAGAGACAGAAAGAAUGGGGGUGAAUGGGUUCUAAGGAAGAGGAAUGUAAGGAUCAAGGGAGAGCUUUUUUCCUGGGUCCUCUGAAGGUUCUCUGAAAAAUCAACUCACAAAAGGUAGAAUAAUUAGAGAGAAAGCAUACAAAUUUAUUUAAUGUAGGCACAGAGUAUUCACAGGAAGGGUCACAGAAUAAUUACCCACCCCUCAAGGUAGAUCAGAAGCUUAUACAACAUCCUGGCAAAAUAGGUUAUGAGAGAGAGGAGAGAGAAGAAUUAUUCUGUGGAGGGGAUUACUAAUUGAACGGGUUAGGGAGCAGAGAUCAACUUGUACGUUAUCUUGAGAAAGGGUCUGUUCAGGUGCGGUGAUAUUCUUGGUCUUCGAGGGAGGGGAAGAAAAAAACAAUUGCUUCUUUUGAUGGGUCUGGGCCUUAGAUAAAGGCUUUGGGAGAGACGAUUAGAGCUAGGGGCCAGGGGGAAGGUCAGAGAGACCUUGAGCCUUCUUCAGUUUGUCAUGACAAAGUACCAUAUUUUGUGGUAUCAGUUUCUGAGCCCCCACAGGAACUAGCAGGAUUUGGAAUUGAUCAGAUUUGGGGGAAAGCAUGGAAGAGGAAGAAGUAACGAGGGGGGGACCCCCCACUGUCAUAAACAUGGAUGACUAAAAUGAUUGUUAACUGUGGGGGAAGAGGAUGAGUGUGGUUUUAUACUAUGCUAUUUUUAAGAAGGUACGUGCUGUAAUCUGUUUAAUGAUAGGUUUUAUGCAGGAAUCAUCAUUGUACUCUAGACGCAUC
ensembl:lncRNA